GAAGCAGGGGAAAUUCUUGGAUGUGAGCCUGGUAGAAAUCAAUCACAGGUCAGAUGGCCUGAUGUGGAGCCCCUGCAAAUAAGCACCCGCCUCCCACCCCAACUUGUCCGUUUGUGCAGGAAUCCUGGGCCACCUGGCUGCCUGUAGAGAGCAGGAAUCGUGAUCUUUGGAAGCCCAGGGAGAGAGAAAAAUUCCUGCGUCUGCAGCCGGGAGAGUCUGGGAUGGGUGAUGACUCCUUACAUGAUGCAGUGAUGCAGAGCAAUGCUCUUGAGUCCCACUGACUGAUGCUGCCAUCACACCCUAGAACCUGAGAAGGAGCAAGAUUGCACAGAAUUCGGCUGUUGAUGCCCAGGGAUGAUGGCUCACAUUUUCUGGGACUAAGCACCAGGCACUAUGCAAAGCGCAAUCCAUAGAGUGACUCCAUUAAUCCUCAAGCGCCAUCCUUUGGCGGUUGUGUUACUUAUGUCCAUUUUACAGAUGAAGAAACUAAGGCUUCAGAGUUGAGGACCUUGCCAAGGUCAUAGUGACCAGGAAAGGAUGGAGCUGGGAUCUGAAGGUCAGUGGGGUGACUUUGAAGCCCAGAAUUUCAUGUCUCCAACCGCACGGUGCUGUUAGCUGCUCUCGUCCAUCAAAUGAGGCCCUACAUGAGAGCAGGACAAGACAGGAGGAGUCUUGAUCUGGCCUGUCGGGGGGACAAACACCCUGGGAUCCAACCAGCCUGGUGUAGCUCGAGGUCUCUGCUUCGUGAGGAUGCCAUGCCGUGCCCCGCGCUGUAGACAGUAUACUUGAAGGACUUGUUUUCAUGCAAGAAGUUAUUCAGACAAGGGAAACUACCUGAAAAAAAAAAAGUGACACACACCAAACUUGCCACCGGGAAGAGGUCCCAAAUGUUCAAUUAGGGAGUUGUUGCCCCACAGAUUUGUCCUCGUGGAAUGUGCAGAGAGCCACAGCAAGUCCACUUCAGAGGGAGGAAAGCCCCUGAAGCAGAUUUACAGGAACAAAAGCCCAGAGCCCUUUUAUCAUAAAGAUAACCCACCGCUUUAUUAUUAGUCACCCUCCCAGCCUUGGGACCAGCCAUGAUUCAGAGGGUUAUGGGAAGAGUUGAAUGAGAAUGAAUAUGCGGCACAGCCCCAGACAUUUUUUAAUGUAAGUACUAUAAUCAUUCUUCUUAUUUUAAAGAUGGCAUCUACUAAUUCCCCUUUCUUCACUCUGUGUGUGUGUGUGGCUUGUAUUGUAGCAAGUGGAGGGCAACUGCAGUUUAGGUACAUUUGCUACAAGUCAGUGUCAGCAGCGAACCCCCUUGGGUAGGCGGCUUCUUUGAGCAGAGCGAUGCUGCACUCUGAUUGGUUGAAACCACUUGUGGUCUGAGCGGUCUGCUAGGCAGUCAGUGAUGCGUGGGAACCACCAUAUUUCACUCAGUCCAUACUGGUCUUUAUUUAUUCUAAGUAAAUAUCUGACAAUGUCCCAUUCAAUGGACUCUGCCACUGAAGUACUCCCAACACAUCUAACCAUAGAACUGACAUGUUCAUUUGUGACUGUCGUGCUUGGAGGGGAGCGGGGAGGAUGUGUGUCUGAAUGUAUUUAGGAAGUGGUGACAGUUUUCUUUCAUCAGAUCUCUAUCUUCUAUGUCUGCCCACACAUGAAGAGACAGCAAGGCAACGCCGUUAUGAGCACGGUUUCUGAGUCAGACGGACUGGAUUCCCAACAUGGGGCUCCCCUGGGAGCUUAGGCAAGUCCCUUCAGUAUUCCGUGCCUCAGUUUUCUCAUCUGUAAAAUGGAAACGAUAACAGCACCUCCUUCAUAAGGUUACUAUGAGUAUUAAGGGGUUUCACAUGUAAAAAGCACUUAAAAUAGGGUCUGGCAGAGAGAGACAAAUAUGUGCUAUCACUAAUACGUGGGAUUUAAUUUAAAAAUGAUUCAAAGGAACUUAUGUAUAAAACAGAAACUCACAGAUUUCAAAAUCGAACUUACGUUCAGCAUAGGGGAAAGUUGGGGACGGAUAAACCGGGAGAUGGGGAUAAUAUGUAUACAUGACUGUAUAUAAAAUAGAUAAUCAACACGGAUUACAGCACAAGGAAAUCUACUCGAAAGCCUGUAAUAAUCUAUCCAGAAAAAAUCAUAGAUAUAUGUACAUGUAUGCUGCCUUGCUGUACACCUGCAACGAAUUCAACAUUGUAAGUCAUCUCUACACCAGUAAAACUAAAAAAAAUAGUGUCGGGCAGAUAGUAAACCCUCUACAAGUGUUCGCUGUCGUUAUUACCUUCCCCUCUCUUCCCAUCCACCACCUCUCCCACAGUCCAGCAAGCAAUUAAAUGUUUGUGUGUCACAAUGUAAAUCAACUAUAAUCGAAAAAAUAAAAAUUAAAAAAAAA